rnacentral:rRNA from 1 species
CCUACGGGAGACUGCAGUAGGGAAUUUUCGUCAAUGGGCGCAAGCCUGAACGAGCAAUGCCGCGUGAACGAGGAAGGUCUUCGGAUCGUAAAGUUCUGUUGAAGGGGAAAAAGAGCGGAGCGAGGAAAUGGUCUCCGAUUGAUAUUACCCUUCGAGGAAGUCACGGCUAACUACGUGCCAGCAGCCGCGGUAAUACGUAGGUGGCGAGGGUUAUCCGGAAUGAUUGGGCGUAAAGGGUGCGUAGGCGGCCUGCUAAGUCUGGAGUGAAAGGUACCGGCUCAACCGGUACAGGCUCUGGAAACUGGCGGGCUAGAGAGCAGGAGAGGGCGGUGGAACUCCAUGUGUAGCGGUAAAAUGCGUAGAUAUAUGGAAGAACACCAGUGGCGAAGGCGGCCGCCUGGCCUGUUACUGACGCUGAGGCACGAAAGCGUGGGGAGCAAAUAGGAUUAGAUACCCCAGUAGUC